UACGUAGGUGGCAAGCGUUGUCCGGAUUUACUGGGUGUAAAGGGCGUGCAGCCGGAGAGGCAAGUCAGAUGUGAAAUCCGCGGGCUCAACCCGCGAACUGCAUUUGAAACUGCUUCCCUUGAGUAUCGGAGAGGUAACCGGAAUUCCUAGUGUAGCGGUGAAAUGCGUAGAUAUUAGGAAGAACACCAGUGGCGAAGGCGGGUUACUGGACGACAACUGACGGUGAGGCGCGAAAGCGUGGGGAGCAA
rnacentral:rRNA from 1 species